rnacentral:rRNA from 1 species
ACAAUAGAUACCCGGGUAGUCCACGCCGUAAACGAUGAGUGCUAAGUGUUAGAGGGUUUCCGCCCUUUAGUGCUGAAGUUAACGCAUUAAGCACUCCGCCUGGGGAGUACGGCCGCAAGGCUGAAACUCAAAGGAAUUGACGGGGGCCCGCACAAGCGGUGGAGCAUGUGGUUUAAUUCGAAGCAACGCGAAGAACCUUACCAGGUCUUGACAUCCUCUGACAACCCUAGAGAUAGGGCUUCCCCUUCGGGGGCAGAGUGACAGGUGGUGCAUGGUUGUCGUCAGCUCGUGUCGUGAGAUGUUGGGUUAAGUCCCGCAACGAGCGCAACCCUUGAUCUUAGUUGCCAUCAUUCAGUUGGGCACUCUAAGGUGACUGCCGGUGACAAACCGGAGGAAGGUGGGGAUGACGUCAAAUCAUCAUGCCCCUUAUGACCUGGGCUACACACGUGCUACAAUGGACGGUACAAAGAGUCGCAAGACCGCGAGGUGGAGCUAAUCUCAUAAAACCGUUCUCAGUUCGGAUUGUAGG